UACGGAGGAUGCAAGCGUUAUCCGGAAUGAUUGGGCGUAAAGCGUCCGCAGGUGGCUGUGUAAGUCUGCUGUCAAAGAGCGAAGCUCAACUUCGUAAAGGCAGUGGAAACUACACGGCUAGAGUGCGUUCGGGGCAGAGGGAAUUCCUGGUGUAGCGGUGAAAUGCGUAGAGAUCAGGAAGAACACCGGUGGCGAAGGCGCUCUGCUAGGCCGCAACCGACACUGAGGGACGAAAGCUAGGGGAGCGAAUGGG
rnacentral:rRNA from 1 species